AUUGAACGCUGGCGCCAUGCCUUACACAUGCAAGUCGAACGGCAGCAUGGAGAGCUUGCUCUCUGAUGGCGAGUGGCGAACGGGUGAGUAAUGCAUCGGAACGUACCGUGUAAUGGGGGAUAACGUAGCGAAAGUUACGCUAAUACCGCAUACGACCUGAGGGUGAAAGCAGGGGAUCGCAAGACCUUGCGUUAUACGAGCGGCCGAUGUCAGAUUAGCUAGUUGGUGAGGUAAAGGCUCACCAAGGCGACGAUCUGUAGCGGGUCUGAGAGGAUGAUCCGCCAAACUGGGACUGAGACACGGCCCAGACUCCUACGGGAGGCAGCAGUGGGGAAUUUUGGACAAUGGGGGCAACCCUGAUCCAGCCAUGCCGCGUGAGUGAAGAAGGCCUUCGGGUUGUAAAGCACUUUUGUUGGGAAAGAAAAGCGGUCGGUUAAUACCCGGUCGUUCUGACGGUACCCAAAGAAUAAGCACCGGCUAACUUCGUGCCAGCAGCCGCGGUAA
rnacentral:rRNA from 1 species